GACUGCUUCAGCAGUACAUGUACUAAAACUGGAAUGAUGCAGAGAUUUGCAUGGCCCAUGCAUAAGGAUGACACGCAAAUUUAUGAAGAGUUACAUGACGUU
rfam:Erinaceus europaeus unplaced genomic scaffold scaffold00077, whole genome shotgun sequence